GCCAUUUUGUGGCGGGGUUGGUGUUGGGUGCGGGGUGGUGCCGCUCUGUGCCGUUCCCGCCUUAAGUCGUCCCCUCAGCCUGCUCUGAGCGCACCGGAGACCUGAGCUGCUCCUCACGUCUUCCUGUCUAUAUGCACCACCGUCUUUAUUGCCCUCCUCUGGGUGCUUGCUGUUAUGAUGUCCUUCUGACGUUGUGGUACCCAGAUUGCCCCCAGCACUCGCAGCGGGCAGGGCAUGGGGCCUUCAGUCACCUGGCAGCGCUGGGCCUGCUGCGCCACAGGGCACGGUUACACAUCUAGUGCACACUGCUCAGAUCGUGCUUGCUAGCAGCCAGAGCUAGAGCUUGGAGGCCUUAUUUGGUUGUAGAAUUGUUUGUAAAAACACAGAACUGGCCUCAAAAUGGAGCCUCGGGGAACCCUGCUAUGACUGACCCCCAGCCUGCUGUAACCCCAUUUCCUACCACCCUUUGAGCUCAGUCCUUCAGCCGGUUGUUCACCCAUCCUAUUACAGGAAAUCCUUGGUACACAGCCAGCAAUGCAAAGCGGAUGAAAUCCCCAGCCUCCUGUUGACUCCAAGAUUGCAAAUUGCCUGCGUACAGAAUCAAUUAAAAAUAAUUCCGAACAUUAACAAA